GAUGAACGCUAGCGGCAGGCUUAACACAUGCAAGUCGAGGGGUAUAGUUCUUCGGAACUAGAGACCGGCGCACGGGUGCGUAACGCGUAUACAAUCUACCUUUUACAGAGGGAUAGCCCAGAGAAAUUUGGAUUAAUACCUCAUAGUAUUUUCGAAUCGCAUAGUUUGAUUAUUAAAGUUCCAACGGUAAAAGAUGAGUAUGCGUCCCAUUAGCUAGAUGGUAAGGUAACGGCUUACCAUGGCAAUGAUGGGUAGGGGUCCUGAGAGGGAGAUCCCCCCACACUGGUACUGAGACACGGACCAGACUCCUACGGGAGGCAGCAGUGAGGAAUAUUGGACAAUGGGCGCAAGCCUGAUCCAGCCAUGCCGCGUGCAGGAAGACGGUCCUAUGGAUUGUAAACUGCUUUUAUACAGGAAGAAACCCUCCCACGUGUGGGAGCUUGACGGUACUGUAGGAAUAAGGAUCGGCUAAACUCCGUGCCAGCAGCC
rnacentral:rRNA from 1 species